AGAGUUUGAUCCUGGCUCAGAAUCAACGCUGGCGGCGUGCCUAACACAUGCAAGUCGAACGAGAAAGUGGAGCAAUCCAUGAGUAAAGUGGCGCACGGGUGAGUAACACGUGACUAACCUACCCUUGAGUGGGGGAUAACCUAGGGAAACCUGGGCUAAUACCGCAUAAUACCUACGGGUCAAAGGAGCAAUUCGCUUAAGGAGGGGGUCGCGGCCGAUUAGUUAGUUGGCGGGGUAAUGGCCCACCAAGACGGUGAUCGGUAUCCGGCCUGAGAGGGCGCACGGACACACUGGAACUGAAACACGGUCCAGACUCCUACGGGAGGCAGCAGUGGGGAAUUUUGCGCAAUGGGGGAAACCCUGACGCAGCAACGCCGCGUGGAGGAUGAAGUCUCUUGGGACGUAAACUCCUUUCGAUCGGGACGAUAAUGACGGUACCGAGAGAAGAAGCCCCGGCUAACUUCGUGCCAGCAGCCGCGGUAAUACGAGGGGGGCGAGCGUUGUUCGGAAUUAUUGGGCGUAAAGGGUGCGUAGGCGGUUCGGUAAGUCUUGUGUGAAAUCUUCGGGCUCAACUCGAAGUCUGCACUAGAAACUGCCGGGCUUGAGUGUGGGAGAGGUGAGUGGAAUUUCCGGUGUAGCGGUGAAAUGCGUAGAUAUCGGAAGGAACACCUGUGGCGAAAGCGGCUCACUGGACCACAACUGACGCUGAUGCACGAAAGCUAGGGGAGCAAACAGGAUUAGAUACCCUAGUAGUCC
rnacentral:rRNA from 1 species